rnacentral:rRNA from 1 species
AACGAACGCUGGCGGCAUUCCUAAUACAUGCAAGUUGAGCGCUGAAGGCUGGUCCUUGUGCCCACUGGAUGAUCAGCGGACGGGUGAGUAACGCGUGGGGAAUCUGCCUUUGAGCGGGGGACAACAUUUGGAAACGAAUGCUAAUACCGCAUAAAAACUUUAAACACAAGGUUUAAGCUUGAAAGAUGCAAUUGCAUCACUCAAAGGUGAACCCACGUUGUAUUAGCUAGUUGGUGAGGUAAAGGCUCAACAAGGCGAUGAUACAUAGCCGGCCUGAGAGGGUGAUGGGCCAUAGCUGGACUGAGAGAAGGCCCAGACUCCUUGGGGAGGCAGCAGUAGGGAGACUUCGGCGAUGGGCGGAAGUCUGACCGAGUGAAGACGGGGGAGUGAAGAAGAUUUUCGGUUCGGAGAAAUCGGUUGGUAGAGAAGAACGUUGGUGAGAGUGGAAAGCUCAUCAAGUGACGGUAACUACGCAGAAAGGGACGGCUAAAUACGUU